rnacentral:rRNA from 1 species
GCUCAGUAACACGUGGCUAACCUACCCUUGGGACGGAAAUAACCCCGGGAAACUGGGGCUAAUUUCCGAUAGGUGAGGACUCCUGGAAUGGGUCUUCGCCCAAAGGGCGUCUAGACCAUGCUUCUAGACGCUGCCCAAGGAUGGGGCCGCGGCCGAUCAGGUUGUUGGUGAGGUAACGGCUCACCAAGCCUAUAACCGGUACGGGCCGUGGGAGCGGUAGCCCGGAGAUGGGCACUGAGACAAGGGCCCAGGCCCUACGGGGCGCAGCAGUCGCGAAACCUCCGCAAUACGCGAAAGCGUGACGGGGUCAUCCCGAGUGCCGUCCGCUGAGGAUGGCUUUUCCCCAGUGUAGACAGCUGGGGGAAUAAGGAGAGGGCAAGUCGGGUGUCAGCCGCCGCGGUAAUACCCGCUCUCCGAGUGGUGGGGACGCUUAUUGGGCCUAAAGCAUCCGUAGCCGGCUGGACAAGUCCCCUGUUAAAUCCAGCGAUUCAAUCGUUGGACUGCGGGGGAUACUGUCCGGCUAGGGGGCGGGAGAGGCCGACGGUAUUCCCGGGGUAGGGGUGAAAUCCUAUAAUCCCGGGAGGACCACCAGUGGCGAAGCUGUCGGCUAGAACGCGCCCGACGGUGAGGGAUGAAAGCUGGGGGAGCGAACCGGAUUAGAUACCCUCGUAGUCCCAGCCGUAAACGAUGCAGGCUAG